AAAUAUGAGAGUAAUCCGGCUGCAACAUCUGCCACCUCAUUGAUUGCCAGGAUUGAUUCAGCUAAUCUGGCUGACUUGGCAAGUGUCUUUUUCCUUCCUCACUACUCCAUGUGUGUCCUUCCUGAAGCUACUUGCUAGGUCAAAGAGGAUGACCUUCCCAAAUAGAGGAGAACCAUUCUUCACUCAAGGGUACACAAGCUGCUGUGUUCCCCUGCUAGAACCUCUAAACAUACUAUCAGGAAAUAGAUCCAAGUGGUGAGACUCGGGACACUUCAGAGCUAAAAUGUU
rnacentral:snRNA from 10 species